AGGGUGACCUCUAAUCUGAAGUAAGCUGGAUAUGAGGGAGAUACUAACUCAUGGGCAAAUAUCUGGUCUGACGAACAGAAAUUUCAUAUGAGGUUAUGCAUGAGGACAAGGCUGCAAAAGAAGUCAAAGUCCAGUAACUACACGCGAUCUGACAAGAGAAAUGAGGUAGAUAGAUGGAGAGGAAGAAA
rnacentral:ncRNA from 1 species